rnacentral:lncRNA from 1 species
AGCCACAAGAAAGCACAGAGACAGCUGGCACUGGUGAUGAUUAUUUUUGUGUUAUAAAAUCUUUGGUGACUGACUCUAUGUAAAUUGUAGUUGUUUUAAUUUUGUUUUUUUAAUGCUGCAACAGGCAAGGAAGAAUGAUAUGAGUUUUUGCAGAAAUUUUCUCUUGAAGAACAGAUGGAAGGUGAUUGUGAAGAACUGUAGACUCUAGCCAUGACUUCUGGUUUGAUCCUUGUUCCAUCUGGAAAGUUUUGUUCUAAAUAUUAUAAAGGUGAAGAAGAUGAGUAAUAGGGUACUGUUUUGGUAUAAAGAAUCUCAGUUUGUUUACUUAUAUUUGGUUUAGAUAUAAGUUCAUAUCGGUUACAGUUUACGUGUAUGUUAUGUUAACUUUUAGCAAUUGGUUUGAUUACCCAAUGCACAUCUUGUAAACAUAUUAAUGAAUUAUUACGUUUUGGUUUCUUAGACAAUAUAGCAUUGUUCAUGUUAUUAACAAUUAUCGUUGAUUUAUUUACUAUAUAACAUGGCAUCAAUGAAAUUUUC